rnacentral:rRNA from 1 species
UGCCAGCAGCCGCGGUAAUACGAAUGGAGCGAGCGUUGUUCGGAAUCAUUGGGCGUAAAGCGUAUGUAGGCGGACUAGAAAGUCGGGAGUGAAAUCCCAGGGCUCAACCCUGGAAUUGCUUCCGAAACUUCUAGUCUAGAGUCCCGGAGAGGUAAGGGGAAUUCCGAGUGUAGAGGUGAAAUUCGCAGAUAUUCGGAGGAACACCAGUGGCGAAGGCGACUCACUGGCACAUUUCUGACGCUGAGGCGCGAAAGCGUGGGGAGCAAACAGGAUUAGAUA